rnacentral:rRNA from 4 species
UUAAAUUGAAGAGUUUGAUCAUGGCUCAGAUUGAAC